GGGAUGUAGCUCAGUUGAUAGAGUGCGUCGUUUGGGGCGAUGAAGCCGCUGGUUUGAGUCCAGCCAUCCCGAC
rnacentral:tRNA from 1 species